GUACUCAGUUCCACAGGAUAUAUGUUAAAAUGGGAACAAUACAGAGGAGGUUAGAAUGACCCCUGAGCAAGGAAGACAUGCAAAUUCAUGAAGAAUUUCACAUUUAA